UCGAUUCCAAGUAGGGAGCAAGGUCACGGGCUUUAAGCGAAAGCCAUGAGUUCAUUUCCCCUAAAGAGGAUGGCAUUGCGCUAGGCUGGCUUCACAGAGCAGCGAACACUUCCCUCUUCUGUCGGUGGAAGGAUAA
rnacentral:SRP_RNA from 1 species